AUGGACCCGGCGCUUGUCACUUUCCGGGAACAACUAGAAUCUGGUGAGUUAGGACAGCCUUGGGCUCUCGUUGAUGGUGCUGUUACCUUCCAACAGCGGGCUUAUGUGCCACCCGCGUCACCACUGCUCGGGGAGGUCCUGGCGGCAGCCCAUGAUGCGGGCCAUGAAGGUAUCCAGAAGUCACUUCAUCGUCUUCGCCGGGAUUUCCAUCUGCCGCAAGCAAGGGCAGCACUUCAGCAGUAUAUUCGUGCUUGUCAGGUUUGUCAAUGCAACAAGACGGAGCAGCUUCAUCCAGCCGGCUUAUUGCAGCCCUUGACAGUGCCCUCUCGUGUUUGGGAAGACAUCUCCAUGGAUUUCAUUGAGGCACUUCCGAAGGUGGGCGGCAAAAGUGUGAUACGACUGUUGUGGACCGUUUCUCCAAGUAUGCGCAUUUCAUCCCCUCGGCGCAUCCGUACAUUGCGGAGUCUGUUGCUAAAGCCUUCUUCUCCAACAUUGUCUGACUUCAUGGGUUUCCCACAUCCAUCGUUUCGGACAGGGAUGUGGUUUUCACUUCUGGCUUUUGGAAGGCUCUGUUUGCCGCCGCAGGGACACACUUGCACAUGA
rnacentral:rRNA from 1 species